rnacentral:rRNA from 1 species
UACGAAGGGGGCUAGCGUUGCUCGGAAUCACUGGGCGUAAAGCGCACGUAGGCGGCUCUUUAAGUCAGGGGUGAAAUCCUGGAGCUCAACUCCAGAACUGCCCUUGAUACUGAGGAGCUUGAGUCCGGGAGAGGUGAGUGGAACUGCGAGUGUAGAGGUGAAAUUCGUAGAUAUUCGCAAGAACACCAGUGGCGAAGGCGGCUCACUGGCCCGGUACUGACGCUGAGGUGCGAAAGCGUGGGGAGCAAACAGGG